UUUCAUCUCUCUGAUAUCUGUGUUUCUUAAGUCUCUUUGGUUCUCUAUUUCUUCUCUUCUACCAUUCUUUUCGUGUCGUGCGAGGGAACCAUCGAGUCUGCCUGGUAGUCUUCUCCUCCUCCGCGUUCCGUUCCCUUCUCCGCGCUCCGCCUCGAUCGCGCCGUUCGGCAAGAGAGGUAUAGGGCAGAACCAAUGGUACUCUGAAAUUUGAAGUAUGGACUUCUUUAUUCACUAUCUUGGAUUACUGAGACCCAAUAUGUAUUGCACUAUUUUGAACUACCAUUGGAGUGGUAUAAGGUUAUGGGAUGAAGUGGGUCAGAAUAUUUCCAUCUGAUUUGUAUUUGUGUUGGAGUAGCACCAGGUAUGGUUGCAUAUAAGUGUGUCAAUCAUGUAUCCAUCUAUGCAUCCGCUUUUGCUUUUCAAAUUUUCUGAAUGUAGAUACAGUCUGUAUUAUUUUAUUUGAACUAGGAUAUCCAAAUAUGUGAAUAUAUUAAUGUGUUAAUUGUACUUGUAUUAAAAUUAGAAAAGAUGUUAUUUGAUUAAUUUUUCUAGUACAGUUGUUUUCUUUUUCAUAUUUGUUUUCAUUUUUUUUUUCCAAUAGAUAUAAUUUGAUAGGUUUGUCUUUGAGAAAGUGUCUUUGUUGUUGGUACUUGGUAGCUUUAGGUAAUGUUCAUAUCUACAUCCAGCUUAUAUGCUAUCUGAAUCUAUUUUUGCCAUACAUCUAAUUCAUAUCUAUGUCUAUCUUAAACAAACACGGUUUUAUAUUUUAGCAUCUAUUAAGUAUUUGUAAUGAAAUUUGUGUCCACUAAUUAAAAGUUGAUAUGGAAUUGAUUAUUUCAGUGCAUUGCCACAUUCAAUAUUUUUCAACUGUAAUAAAGGUCGGUGUAAGUCAUGUGACAAAGAAUAAUUAAUGUGUUGUGAAUAAUUUAGAUAGUUUGUCUUAUAUAAUGGUGUAAGUCAUGUGACAAAGAAUAAUUAAUGUGUUGUGAAUAAUUCAGAUAGUUUGUCUUAUAUAAUUUGUAUCAUAAUGUGUCAAUCCUAAAUUUAUCUGGUUGGUUUAUUGUGCUUUAAUACAUCAAAUCUCAAAUGUGGUAAGGGUCCUUUUUUUAAUGUCUAAAGCUGACUAUGUGUUUUUACUUUUUUCAUAUGACUUGCAAACCACAAUCCAAUUGAUCAAACAUCAGUUACAAUUGGCAUCCUCCUCUUUCAAGAAAACCACCAUGCAAUGUUUAUGGUUUCGCAGAUACUUAUUUUGGAAGGAGAAAGUUUAACAUAUGCUUGAGGGAGAUUAAUUGUUUAUUAAUUUUACUAGGGUUAGCCUAGCUGUAAGGGGAUUAUGAUCUUGUCUUUUGUUAGCUUAUCAAAUAGGCAAAAACCUAUCUUCCUUGUGUAAGGAUCAAUUGAAGUGGAGAUCUUAUAUACGGGUUAUGCAGGACCAUUUCAAUUUAUUUUUAUUUGAACAAGAAAUAUUAGUUUAUGUGAAGAAGCUUAUAAACUAAAUAAAACUAAGGAUUGUUUGAAAAGGGAAGCUAAAUAAAACUAAGGAAUGUGACAAAACUUAGGAUUGUUUGAACUUUGAAGACUCCAUUCUAUAUAAAGAAGCUUCAUCAUGAUUGAAGAAUCUACAAGUACGGAAGCUUAUCAAUUUUUUUUUUAAAAAGCAUGAUUAUUUGUUCUUGUAUUUAGGGAUUCAUCACAAGAGAGAAGGGUCACGACUUGAAAUAGAAUACAAUGGAUUAAUGAAUAAAUUAUGUUUUCCUACAUUAUAUGCAAGUGGUGUGUGAUGAUAUCUUUUUUGUUCUAAUGGCACGAUUUUAUCAUUUAUGUGGUGCUGUGGAAUUUCAUUCAUAGAAGUUAUUCCUUGAGUUGCCUUUUGUUUAGUAUUUAUCUUGUUCCUUCUUUCAUUUGAUCUUAUAUAUUUUUUUUAAUUCCACAACUAUCAAAUCCUAGAACGAAAUAUUACUUUGGUCUAUUUAUGCAAACCUACAUCAAAGAGUCUUGUCUAUUUAGAUGUUUCAUUUCAUUUUCUGUAUGUACCAUCUUGAAUGUUUACAUUUUAUUA